rnacentral:lncRNA from 1 species
GGGAGAACCGUAGUGCGCAGGCGUCCGGACCGGAACCGCAUCUCCGGCGGCGGGGAUUGGAGCGCGCGCAUUUCGUGGGGCGGCAGCCCGCGCCCGGGUGCUGACCUCCUGCCUCAGCGCCCCCUCCCCUACUACCCGCGGCCUAGCGGGGUAGCCUCGGGCGGCCAGGCUUGUUUCCUCCUCGGUGGGUGUAAGGUGCGGCUUGGCUGGUCCUGGCCUGAAUCCAGCGGAAGCGCACGCUGCUGAGCUGUCAGCGGAGGAAAAUGGGGCCUGGACCUGGAGAUAUGAGGGUCUGGAGAGAGGGGCCCCUUCCCUGGUGUCGUGUGGUGCGACCACUGGAGAGGGAGUUUCUCGCCCUCGUCGCGCCUGCCGCGCGGAGAGAUAAGGUCCUAGCACAGUAUCUGGCCAAUAUUAGGUUCUCACAAAUUGAGCAAAUAUGGAGGUGAAUUGAUGUGAAUAGCUCUAAUCCAUAGAGGUAAUACUGUACCUGGCCACAACCAAUGAAUCCAGUGGUACACACCUAAUAACAAGCUGAGCCAGUGAGAGAGUCUCUCCCAGCAAAGCAAAACUUGAAAGAUAAAGAGGCAGGAGGCCUUUGCAGGUGAGCAUAUUAAUGGCAACUCAACCCCUGCUUCUAAGG